rnacentral:lncRNA from 1 species
UUUUUUUCUUGUGAUGAGAACUUACAAGAUCUGCUCUCAUAUCAACUUUCAAAUAUGCAAUACAGUAUUAUUAACUAUAGUCACCAUGCUGUAUGUUACAUCCCCAUGCCUUAAUUAUUUAUAACUGGAAGUUUGUACCUUUUUUUUUUUUCGAGGAAGAUUAGCCCUGAGCUAACAUCUUUUGCCAAUCCUCCUCUUUUUGCUCAGGAAGACUGGCCUGGAGCUGACAUCUGUGCUCAUCUUCCUUUAUUUUAUAUGUGGGACACCUGCCACAGCAUGGCUUGAUGAGCGGUGCAUACAUAGGUCCACACCUGGGAUCCAAACUGGGGAAGCCCAGGCUGCCGAAGUGGAACAUGCGAACUUAACUGCUGCGCCACCGGGCCAGCCCCUACAAGAAUGUUGAAGGGGUGCUGAUUGCCAGCUAAGAGGAAGAGGUGGCGUUUGAAUUCAGCCUUACAAGAAGAGAUUAGGACACACAAGGAGACACCAGGAUGCACACACGUGUGGAGAGACCAUGUGAGGAUGCAGCGAGAAGGUGGCUGGCCAUCUGCAAGACAAAGAGAGAGGCCUCAGGAGACCCAAACCUGCUGACACUCUCAGACUUCAAGUCUCCAGAGCUGUGAGAAAUUUCUGUUGGCGAAGCCACCUCAUCUGCGGUAUUUUGUUAUGGCAGCCCCAGCAGACUAACACAGGUGGGACCAGGACAUGGGGAGAUGGGGAGAAGGGCAUUCCAACUAGAAGGGACAGCUUGCUGGUCACAAGAGUCGAUGUGCAGUGGCCGGAGCCAGGGGAGGCACGUUUCAAGGACUGGAACUCGACAGAGCUGGGUCACCCUGGGGUCAGAAGGGACAAGGGCUGUGAAGAGGCUCCAGGAUUUGACAUAAGAUCAUGGAGAAGAGGACGAGAAGAAGAGAGAUUAAAGAUGCGAGAAAACCCAGCCCCACUGUACAUAGUUGUAUAUUCUUGUUGUUGGUCCUUCUGGUCGUGCUAAGUGGGACGCCGCCUCAGCAUGGCUUGAUGAGCAGUGCCAUGUCCGUGCCCGGGAUCCGAACUGGUGAAACCCUGGGCCGCUAAAGCGGAACGCGUGAACUUAAACCACUCGGCCACAGGGCUGGCCCCUUAAUUUUGUUUUUUAAUGAUGUAAAUGUUUUACAUGAUUCCGUUUACAUCCUACAUGACCCCACAUCUCCUCUCCUAGGUGUUUCCCCCGCAGAAAGGUGUACACGUGUGCAUCAAAAGAAUAGAAAUUCCACGAGGAAUUGUGUGUUUUGUUCACUGCUGUCUUCCCUGAGCGUAGAAUUGUGCCUCGCACAUAGCAGCUCAGUAAAUAUUUGAUGAAUGAAUGAACGAACUCUAAUACAGCAAACAGACAAAGUACAAGAACAGCCUCCUCAGGGCAGUUUACGUCUUCAGUGUUUGGCCUGGACAUUUGUUUGAGGAACCCCUGAAGUGCUUCUGCCCAGCCAAGAGGGUUCCUCGGAGAAGAGUUUCAAAAUGACUGCUGAAGGCAAAUGGGAGCGGCUGAAAGCUUUUGAAGGAUUUAGCUCUUGGCUCACUGUCACUCUCUCGAACACUACUCCUGUCACAGUCCCUGGAAGAUUAGCCCUGAGCUAACUACUGCCAGUCCUCCUCUUUUUGCUGAGGAAGCCUGGCCCUGAGCUAACAUCUGUGCCCAUCUUCCUCUACUU